CCGGCCAAACCAAGAGCAAAGAAGAACAAAGGGAGAAAAGAAAAACAAAAACCCUAGGUGGAGAAAUUCAAGGGAAAAUUAGUGAAAAUUCAAGGAAACAAGUGACAAAAGGUAAAAUUUCUUGAUUUUGACUUAUGAUCUACCUUUUUCAUGCAUUUCUCCUCAUUUUUCAUGGUUAAAUUACACGUUUUCAUGAUGAAUUCAUGGCUGGUUGGAAUGGGUAUGGAGAGAGAAUGAUGUUAGAUUGAUUUGAUUUUAAGUUAUGUUAGUGUUUUUAGUUAGUUAAGCAUGUUUAGAAACAAAACAACAAGAAAAGAAUCUAUUUUCCCCAUAAACCUUCAAUGGCAGAACCCUAUGUGAAGUGUAUAAGUAAUGAAUUGAUUUUGUGAUCAAGUGAAUUGGUUGAAAAAUUGAUGAAAUGAUGAUUUAUGGUGAGAAAAUGGAAUGGGAAAAUUUUUAGUGAUAGUGCACCACAAUGGCCAAAAUUUUCAAGAAGAAUUGUGAGGGUUGUUAGAUUGAAUUUUAGAUUAUUGGAAUUGUAUUUAGUGAAUUGAAAUAUUAGAAAUGAAAUGGAGCAAUUUGGAGCCAAAUCGGACACAAUUGUCAUUUAAUCAAGUAAUAGACCGAAUUAGGUCAGCACUGCAUUUAAGCGAUAGUAGAAUAAGUUGCAUAUCAUAUCAUGCAUAUACACCGUGCCUGAAUUGAUUUUAUAAUGGUCAAGCAUUGAUGUGGUGAAUUAUGUAUUGUACAUUGUGGAUAGGUGGUGAGUAAAUUACACUGAUAAAAGUACAGAGAUUGUUCUUGGAGACUGGGAUUAGGAGUACAUUGACUCUUAGAACUGUGAGUAAACUUAUUAUCGUCUUAAUUAUCUAGAGUAGUUUUAUACAAUUGUGUGAUUUUAUGAAAAAUGGGUUUAAAUGGUAAAUUGCUAUGUUUUAGGAGAAAUUGUGAUUUUAUAAAUUUUCUGAAAAAUUAAAUACUGGUUUUGAAAAUAGAGUAAUUGGAGACUGCCUGCUUGUGUUGUAAAUUUAUGGUUUUAAAUUGAAUGACUUAUGACAAUAUAUGAGCAUGAAUGGCUAAACUGAUUUUUGGUGUUAGAAUUAUUUGUACUGUGUAUUCAGUCUUGAGAUGCUAGGUUGCGAUAAAUUACCAUGUUAUGCAGAAAAAGAUUUUAUAAAUCAGGUGGUAGAUAAAAUAAUCCAUAGUCAUUGUAGUGGUGAGGGUUUUCGUGGACUGCCUAUGAGAGGGGCACGAUAACCUAAUUAUAUAUUUACCUUCGGAGGGAGAUGUUGGAUGAAGUAUCUCCUGAGGUAAAGAUUUGAGUACACUUCACGUGGACCACCGCGUGAGAGUGAGACUUAGCCAACACCAAGGCAUGGCUAAAAUUUCGGAUGUAAAGACAUUUAACAGCCUUGGCGGACUCGGUUGGGAUAACCCUCGAUCAAGGUAUCCCUGAUAAUUAAGUAUGAGAAUGAUUUUUUGGUACGAGCCAAGCUUUUCAGGAAAUCAUAAGCCUAUUUGUUUAUUUGGUUGAAAUGAGUUGAAAGGUAAUGAAAUUACAGUAUGAUGACUUAUUUUAAUUCGUCUCCAUUUACUCGCCUUUAGAUAGUUUAGAUGGUGUCUGUUUACUCAUUGGGAUUUUAUAAUCUCACCACCCUCAUUUCCUUACAUUUCAGGCUCAGGGAAUUACAUAGUUAGCUGACUUUGACAAGGACCUUCAUUUAGACUUGAAUCGGCAAAAGUUGUAGGUUUUCAGCUUCCAAUACAUUUUGGUUAGAUGUGGGCCCACGUGUCGUUGUAAAAGUAAUUUUAUGCUUUGGUUAUUUACUUUACAGUAUAUAUGAGUAUAAUUAAUUUUUACGCUAUAAGAAUUAUUUACCAAUAGCUUUAUAAAAAUUAUUUUACAAGAAAAUAGUUUAUUUUAUUGAAUAUUUUUAUUAUAUUUAAAUGGUCAAAUUUUCACUUCAAAUGAACGUUUUAGAUACUUAAUUUGUUUUUAAAUCACUAAAUAUAUAUUUUCUGCCUACCUACUACAUUUUUAGCAAGUUUUAAGAUUUUCGACGAAAAAUGACAAAAAUGCCCCUGUGAGCCAGAAAACAAUAUAUUAUGUUCUAAUUUGGAAACGACUCUUAAUCCUUCAAAUUACGAUAUUUGAUAACUAUUGCUCACUGGGAAAGUGCGAAAGCUGAUACGAGAGCCUUGCGAGGUUUCGAUCGGCAUUCGGGGUGAAGAAUGUCUGUCGAGGCUUCGCGGCGAUUAUCACAAGCUCGAUGGGAGUUCCGGUCGUGACAAAAACAACCAACAAAUCCAAGCUUUUGUCAACAAAAAUCUCGAAAGAAUAUUCCGUCAAUCAAAUAUUGAUGAAAAUUUCUAUCAGUAUUUUUGUCGAUAAUGAAACAUACCGAUGGAAUCUAAACUUUUACCAACAAAAAUUUCUGUCGAUAAUACCUUAUUUUUUUUAAUAACACAAUCUGAAAACAUCGUAAAACUUGCUUCAUAUUAAACAAACAAUCCAAAUUUAAUUGACAAAACAAGAAAAUAUCAUCUGCGUAAAGUCAAACCUCUAUCUUCAAUGAAAAUACCAUUACAAAUUUAUUCUUCCUUUGCUUUCACCAUUAGACAACUAAAAACUUCUGAAAUCAUAUUAAACAAAAAAAGAGAUGAGGUGAUUGACAUAUGGCAUUGUUGCGUAAAUCAUUCCAAAUCAAUUGUAAUGUGGGCAUGCUAAUAAAAAAUUAAUGGCUAUUAAACUUAAUGCAUUUUCUAUCUAAAUGACAUAUGAAGUGGUUAAGUGAAUCAUUCCGCAUCAAUUGUUAUGUGGGCAUGUCAGUUGCGACAUGGAUGGAAACUAUUAUUUAAUAUUAGGUGUGAUGGUUAUUAAUUUUUCACUAGAAUUAAAAACUUGUGUGAGUUUAGUUUAAAAGAUAAAAAUAUGUUUGGAUACAACAAAAAAAUAUAAACAAACACAAUUAAAGGUUUUUUUUAAUACUUAAGGUUUUAAAUUAUCAAUACAGUUAUCAUUUACUUUACAUUUAGUCUUUUCAUUUUGUUUAUUUAUUUAUAGGACUAAGUGAUAAUUCUAUUUUAUAGAAUUAUUUUAGUCUAAUUUUAUAUUAAAUAUUUGCAAAGUCCUUACUUUUCAAUUAUAAUUUAGUUAUUUUUAGUUGCUUUUAUAAUUAGUUUAUUUUUAAGUGAGUUAUUUUGAUUUUAUAUUUAUUUCUUUUAAUUUAGAUAUUAUUUGUUAGUUUUAUGUUUUUGUAAGAAUUAAAGGAAUUGGGCUUAAUUUUGGAAAGUAAGGUUUUUGAAAUACCUAGAAUUCUACUUGCAUAUAUUUUGGUAUUUUGCUCAUAACUCUCGUUACAGAACUCCAAAUGAUAUGAUUCUUGAACCAUUGGAAAACUAAGAGACAAAACUAUGGAGAAAAUUAUAUCAGAUGAUGAUGAGGCAUACUGCUGCGGGAAUGGCAAUGUUGAGAGAUGAUAUUUGAUAUUUGGGCCUCAUUACACUAUUAAGCCCAAUAGUUAGAAUUAAUAGGUUAACUUAGGAACUUGUAGGUUAAGAUUAUUAGUAUAAAUAGGAUAUUUUUAGGAGAAAUUAAAGACAACUUUUGGAGAUUCAAGAGGUUGAAAGUUGAGGCAGAAACUUAGAAAGUAAAGCAGCAAUUAAUUGUUUUGUUUUCUUCCUUAGCUUUUAUUUUUCUUGUUACUCUCAAUGGUUGAAAUUUAUAUAAUGUUAUUUGUCUUUGCAAUUAUGCGUAGCUAAUUUUUUUUUCUAUGAUUGCAAUUGAACUCACAUUCAGUCUAAAUUUUUAAUCUCUUUCUUGCUUAUCCUUAAUGGAAUUUGUAUUGUUUAUUUUAAUUUCUUCUUAAUGCUUUUAAUUGCCUCCUCAUUAAUUAAAUUGAUUUAGGAACCUAAACAAACUUGGACAGGGACAUACCUAUAGGCCAUAUGUAGCCAAAUUAUAAUUUGAACUUAAUGAGUCUAUUUUAAUUUUAAUUCACAUUGGGAUAUAGUAUUUUGAUUAAAAUAGAUAUUUUUAUAAGACGAGUUGAAAGACCCUUAUAUAAUAUUAAGAACUUUAGGUUACCAAUUCAACCCAUUGAAAUAAGUUAAGGAAGAAAUGUAAGAUUUAAAUGAAGUGUGAGAGAUAUUGUAAUUCUAGGCUUGUUUGAUUUGAUUUUUUACUCGAUCUAUUAUUGUUUUGACUUUUCUUUCUAGUUUAGAUUUUGAUUAAUUAAUUUUUAAUUUAAUUAGAAUUCAUAUUUUAAUUAUUUGAAUAAAAUUAAAUUGUUUUAAUUUAGUACUUCAUAAAAUUUUAAAUCAAUUCUAUAUGAGAUCGAUAUUCAACUUACCGUUAUGCUAUAUUUUCAAUAUAUAUAUUUACGUAGGUAGAAAUUUAACUGACAAGUUUUUGACGCCAUUGCUCUCAGUUUGAGAGCCGCAAUCCUCAAAGCUUUUGUUUUGAAGCUUUUGUAGCCCACGGUUAGGGUCGCGGCUCUCAAAAUAAACAGUCGAUUCAACAUGAAAAGGUCAAAAAUUAAAUAAAUCAAAUUUCACUAUGACAUCGAUCAAAUUAACUAAAAUUUAAGAGAUACGUAUACAAAUUCUAUUUGUUCAAUCGAUUCUCCCUUAAACCAAAAUUUUAGUAUCAUUUUAUAAUUUAUAAAAUUAAGCAUCUAAAUUAUAUAUAAAUAACAUCUAAUAUCUAAACAAAACAUAUAAUAAAAAUCAAUUUUAAAAAAAUAAAUAUAAGUAAAUAUUUAAUAAAAAUUCUCGAAGGAGUAAUAUAUAUGAUUGAUUAAGAGGACUAAAUAAUUAUUAUUGAAAAUAAUAUAUAAUAAUUUAAAAAUAUAUUAUUUAAGUUUUGUUCAUCUUCGAUUAAAUUAAAAUAUCGAUUCAAAACUUUAAAUAUGGAAAAUAAAAGGAACAAAUUGAACUAACAAAUGUUUAAUAAUGGAAUAGACGGUUGACCGAAUUGAUUAAACUCAAACUCAAUUCGGUUCAGUUAUAGUCCUGUAUACACUAUUGUUGCAUCAUGCAUGUAGCCCAAAUCACCAUUGCGUACAACACCAAAGGAUAAGAACAUGGGAGUGACAUAUUUUACAUCAAGCUAAGGCAGCUACAACUUGCUUUCUUGUCCUUGGUUAAAGCUCUGUCACCUAGUCUAUGCAGCUACAACUUGUAGCCUGACUAUGGUUCUUAGGUAAUCCAAAGACUAGUUCCAGUUUUAUUCCGUUGCAACUCAUCUGUCUGUAGGAAGUAUUAGCUAGAUUCCCUCCAUUAUUUUUACUUAUUUUUGUGAUUUUCUAGCUUUAAGAAAGAGACAGGGCAGCCUAAGGGAGAACUGGGAACUACUUGCUAUCAUCAGCAACUAUAUAGUUUACGGUAAAAAAAAGAAACUAAAUAUAGUUUCCAAAUGAAAAUAUAUACUUAAAAUAUGUAAUUACUCCAAAAAAUUGUUUAUAUGGUUUUUAAGUUAAAUAAAUUCAGAAAAAGAUAAGUUACUCCCUAUAGAUAUAAAUUAAAAUAGGCACAUAACUGAUAUAGAAUUUUGUUUUUAAUUGUUCAAUUCUCAUUGAACUUAAAUCUAAUAAUUUUAUAUACGAUACGAUAAUAAGAUACAAAUUUAAUCGUGUGUCAAACUUACUUAACUUAACUCAUUUAGGACAUGAUUAGUUAAUUAUGUUAUCGUUUAUAUGUACAACCCAUUAUUUAUUUAUUAUUUAUUUAUUUAAUUAUAUUCAUGUGUCGUGUAAAUAUGUUUAGUACAUAGUUAAUACCAAUUUAUUAAUCCAUAUAAAUACUAAUAUCUUUAUGAUGAUUAAGAUUUAUUGAUAUUAAAUAUUAUAAUAUUUGAUAAAUAUUAUGAUAUUUAUAAUAUUUUAUAUAAAUUUAAAUAAUAAAAUUUUAUUUUAUUUGUACUUAUUUUAAAUUAAUCAUCUUAAUUAUGUUAAUCGUAUCAAUCGUGUAAAUAAGUUAUAAAUAAUAUAAAUUUCAAUGGUAUUAAUUAUGUCGUGUCGCAUAAAAUUUAAUCUAACAUUUAAUAAACGUGUUAAUCGUGUCGUGUCAUAUUAUACAUUUAUUAAAUGUAUGCGUGUAUGUGUUUAAGAUCCUAACACGAUUAAUUAAUCGUGCUGUGUUCAUGUUUUUCCGUAUAACUAUUAAUACCUUAUGUUUACAUGAUAUGGUUAAGAUACGAAAAUACGAAUUCUCCAAGUUUACUUCAUAGUGAACGAAAUAACAAGGUAUGAAUCAUAAUUAUUAAAUCGAUAUACAUAUUGUAUAUCGAAAUUUUAUUUUUUUAGUAUUGAGUAUCGUAUCGUAAGAUACAGUAAAAAAUUUUAAAAUUAAUUAUAAAUAACAUUUAUAUAUGUAAAAUAAAAAAAUUGAAAAAUAUUAUGUUUUUUAACAGAAUUGAAGAUUAUGAGACAUGAAUUGAAACAAUGAUUUUUUUUUAAUUUAAACUUUCAACAUAUUCCUUCAUAAUAUAGAUUUUUAAAUAAAAUCUAUACAUUUGUAUAUUAAUUUAUUAAUUAAAAAUUAAAAAACAUUUAUUAUGUUAAAAUUAAAAAGGAAAUUCAAAAUUUUUUGUUUAAAAUAUAAAAAUUGUAACUCAUAAAGUAUAAUUUUUCAUGUUUCAACUCAAAAUAAUAAUAAAAAUAAAAGUUUUAAUAAUUAAUUAAAAUUAAGUUUAUAAAAAGUGUAUCAAUUGUAUUGUAUGGUAUACUCCCAUAUUAUAAGAUACAUAUAGCGUAACUUACGGUAUACUUCGAUACAUAAUCAAAUGCGAUAUAAUUAUAAAUACGUAUAAUUUUUUACUAAUAUUAUAUCGUUCCAUAUGUAUCACGUAUUGUAUGAUAAUGAUAACUAUGGUAUGAAUUAGAGGUGAUAAUUGGAUCGAGUCGUUUUGAGUCAGAUCAUUUUGAGUUUAAAAAAAUUUGAGUCAUUUUAUGUUAAAGUCAUUUAUGGGUCAUGUUAUUUGAAUUUGACAAUUGAGUUAUUCAAGUUCCGAUCAUUUUAAAUUUAAAUUAUUAACUUUUACAAAUAAAUCAAAUUAAAUUUAGACAAAUAAUUCAAAUCAAUUUAUACUUUAUCAACCACAAUUAAAUUAUUUAAAAUCAUAUUUUUGCCAACUUGUAGCACACUUCCAAUUUUUAUAUUUGAUAUCAUAAAAAUAAAUUUUUUAAAAAAUAAUUAAAUCAUAUGAAAAGAAAAAAUAACUGAAUUAAAAGUUGUUUACUAAUUUAAAAAUAUUUUAUAUAAAAAAUUAAUAAUUUGCUCUCGAUGAAAACUAUUUUUAGUGAUUUUUAUUGAUUGAUAUUUAAUUUUUAUUUUUAUUACAAUUAUUAAUAUUAGUGAUUCACCGUUAUUAUAAUUAUAGCUUAAAACUUACAAAAUCAAAUAUAAAUUCAAAAAUUUGAACUGGUAUUAAUUUAUUUUUCGAAUAUUAAAAUGUUAUUGAGGUAAAAGAUAAAAAAUAUUUGAAAAUUUGAUAUAAAUAACAUUUAGUUCUCUCUUUAACUAGUUGUAAGAACUAAGAUUUAUCAUAAGUUUAACUGAUAUGUAAUAAUGAUUUUUUUCUUAGUGGCAUGAAUUUUUUUUAAAAAAAUUCAAUUUUCAUUCAAUUGCAUUUUAAUAAGUUGUGAUUUUUUUUUGAAUAAUUACGUAAUUUUAUUGUUGGAUGUCAUAGUUUAAAUUACCAUGAACUAUAAAAGUAAAAGCAUUAAAAAGAAACCCUUAAAUAUUAUUUUUCGAAUUUAGGGAUGUCCAAGAUGAUUACAAUAGAAACAGAAACCAAGAUUGAAUGAAUCUGAAUCUCCGUUGCUGUACCAACGCGUAUCCAAAUGAAAUUUGAUCAUUACAGAAUAUCUAUUUGAGGUGAAAUAAACAAAAUGUUUACAAAUAGAUAUUAAAAUUAACUUUAUUUAAUUAAUUGUUAAAUAUGUUUUAGCUUAAGAGCUAGUUUUUUUAAAAAUUAUUAUUACUUAUUCAAAUUAUUUAUUUCAUUGUUUUUUAAGAGUGAAAAAAAAUUAUUUAUGAUAUAUUAUUGUAAAAAUGAAAACGGCUUAAAUUUGUUUCCAUAUUCAUAAUUUAAGAAAAUAAUGUCCAAAAUAAUAUAAAAAUACAAAAGUAAAAAAAAAAUAGAUUUUUAAAGAUAAUUUAAAAUUAUUAAAUAUUGAUAUAUUAAUAAAUUAAUAUUAUUUAAAAAUAAAUAUAUACUCAAUUUAAACUCAAAUCUAUACAAAUUAAUUGUUCCAAUUACUCAAGUUCAGAUAAUUUGAAUUUAAGUUGAACAAGUUAAUUAAUUUUGACCACCGGACGAGUUUUUGAAAUAGGGAUCAAUUCUAAGCAUUAACUAUUGAGUAGGUUAAAGUUUUUUUUUUCUAAAAAAAAGUAGCUUCUAUACAUAGUUAGCCCGAGAGGCAAUGACCGAGGACUUUGCAUUGAAGUAACGUCUCCAGCUUCAUUUGGAUUUAACAGUCAGGUUUCCCAUUUCCUUUUUCCUUCCCUUGCUUUCCACACAGGAAAAACUUAAUAUUACAAUUCCAACACAUUCAUAUGUUAUUGAGAACCUAUUAGCAGCUGCUAUUUGCUAGUAACACCAUUAAUCCAAGUAGGUUCACCCAAAAGAGAAGGAAAAACCAUUCCAAGUGGAAGGGAUUAUACCCAUCUAGCAAGCCAUUUUAGAGCUCUUCUGAAUUCGCAGAAAAAUGUUCAAAGUCAACAGUUAUGCUGUGGCUCUCCUGACAAUAUCCUACUGCUAGAGCUUGAUUGACUGUGUAAUGGCAAACUCUGAAUCACCACUUAAAGAGAAUAAAACUACUAACAAAAUCAUGGAUCCUUUUUGUAAUCACCAUGUCUUCAAUCUGAAUAACAAAUAGUAAAACAUUUUUAAUUUACAUUGCAGAUUCGCUAUUAAUCUACCAUAAAUAAGUAGACUCCAUAUACUAUACCCUCCCUUUAAGGUUAUCGUCAGGGUCCUGAUCAUCAUGGACAUGCAAAUGAGCAUCCUUUUUGCACAUACAACUUUAAGCUUGUAAACUAAAAACUGAAACACUGUUUCUAUUCACCUCAAAGCCUACCCUUAUAAUUUUUAGAAGCCAAAAAGCAAAAGAUCACCCUGCCGAAGAUCCUACAUAAACUUGUUGAUUUACAAACAAAGCUCAUUCUUGAUAAUUACGCACUUCAUUAAUGAAUAUCAAAUGAAAACUUGCAACUCCAACAAGUACUGCCAGCAACUAUGAGCAAAAAUAACAAAAUACAUAAAUAACACAUUACCAAAAAUACUUGAUUUUUAUUUCAUAGCAAAGCUCAGGAGGAAUAGACGAAAAAAGAGAAGAUGGGAGGAUUGAUCAAGAUUAAAAUAAAAAAUUAUGAUCAAAAUAAAAAGAAAAAUAUUUUAAAUUCUUAUGCAAGAACUAAAAAGCCUUGCAAGGUCAAGAAAAAAUUAUAAAAUAAAAUAAAAAAAAAAGCUCAGCAAGGAUAGCACCAUCAAAAUUUUGAAAUGUGCUUCAUUUUACACUUGUGUCGAAAGCCAAGGCACUGAGAUUCCUCCUGGCACAUCUCAAGGAGGCAUAAACGGAUGUCUGGUUCCAUUGAAAAUAACCUCAUGACCAUCAGUGAGCAGGAGCAUGAUAAAGAAAAGACAGGGAGAGAAUUAGGAUGUGAGAAUAUCAUGUAAUAUUAUGACAUUUGGGUAAGCUGUGAAGUGAUAUAAAUAGGCAUGAAGAGAUGCUUGUUGAAGUGAUAUAAAAAAGAGAGGAAAUAGAUGAUAUCCGGAAGGUGCUGACAUUCCAAAAAUAUGUUUAGUUUCCAGCAAAGAGUCAAAAGAAAGCCAUCAGACUUGUGGACCCAAAACCCACGUCUUAAAAAAAAACAAAUAAAACGACAAUAGAAACUCUCGGUCAUCAGCCUUCAAUUUCUUUUUUUUUUAAGUUUAAAGUAAGAAAGGAGGUUUUCUCUUUUUCUAUUCUUCGCUCUUCUCUCUCCCCACAUGAGAAGUCUACAAAUACCAUUAUCAACAGUUAAAUCGGUGACUGAUUUGAGAGAAGAGAGCGAAACAAGUACAGGGAACAGCAGUGCAAGCAACGUGACUUAACCAGCACUAAUAGCAUCUGUCUCUGCCUCUCUCAUCUGUUUUCACAUCUUUUACCUUCUCAGUUACGUUAUUUUGGAAGAAUAAGGAGCAUGGGAACUCGGAUUUUCAAGGUUCCUUUCGGUUUGAGAAAGCAAAAAGCAAAAAAAAAAAAAAAAAAAAAAUAGGGAGAUUGACCUUGUAUGGUGUUGCAAUCAAUACGUAAAAAAGAAGAAUGGUAACAUGCAGUCUUGCUCUGUCUUUUUCUCGCAGUUACCUCUCCUGUACAAGUCUUCAAAGCCUCCUUCGAAUUUUGUUUUCACAACCUGUCCACGUUGCCUGUAGUUUCCAAUAGUAUCUCUCUCCUUACAGUGCAUUUUCACCGUCAUUUUAAUUCAAAACCUAAUUAGUAAUUGUUUUAGCCACAUGUAUUUAUCAGUUAGUAACUUAUUUCUAUUUACCAUAACCCUCAUGAUGAAAGAGUGGCAGAGCACAGAGUGGCAGACUUCAUAUCAUAUAUAGAAACGAUAAUUAAAAACCCCUGGACACAAAAUAGUGUAUGACCUUGUCGACUAACGAGUCUUCAAACUCAGCCAAUAUAGCUAGCUAUAUCAUUUUAAGAUUCAAGUUUGUUCAUGGGAGGUGUUGUGAGCUUUUCUCAGAGAUGAGCUGCACGAGUCUUGGAAUGACUUAUGAACACACAAAAACCAAUGUUGGAUACAUAGACUGGCAAAGAAGAUCUUUUGGUGCUUUUUGGUUUUUAUUUUUUGGGUGAUAAAAUACAUAAAACAGCUUUGCGAUUAAAGGCUGGCCACAGGCAGAUAAUACUAGUUUCUUUCUUUUGUAAUUUCCCUGGCACCCUCAUUUGCAUUAGAAUAGGAACCAGGGUUUUAUUGGAGAGUUUCUUGGCUUCAAUUUUUGAAGCAUGGAGAUAGGAAGGAGCAAUUAUUCCAGGGUGACAGACUAUAGUAUAGUGUAAGAAGGGAAACUUUUAGGCUCCACGCUCCCGCUAAACAAAAUAACCUGCACUUCUCAGAUCGGAUGAAGAUGAAUAGAUCAGCCCUUGGCAGGGUCCGAGAGAUCAGAGAGUGGUAAAUGGAAGAGACGAAAUGGAGCGUGGGCGUUGAGGGUGAGGAUCUUUCUCUGCCAUAGCUUUUACUCUUUGUAAUCAUCACAACCUUUAUGAUGUGACAACACAUGGUCAAGUCAUCAGUCACGCUCUCUCAAACUUGUUUGGUUUGGCUUUGUUGUUUCUCUCUCAUCUUCAUCUAACAAAAUCGCCUACGUAAGAAAGCAAAGAUUCAAGGCAUAACGCUAGUAGCUAGCACAGUAGCAAUACUAGUGCCCCAUAAAAGUGCUAGGUACAGCUUCGGGGGGGCUGGGGGCACCCCUCUCCUGCCGCCCGCAUGUGUGAGCCUGAGCUUAUUUCCAUCUUGCAAAUUAAAGCUCCCUGAUCUUUCUGCCUCUCCCUUUUUCCCUCUCAAUUUCAAGAUUUGCACCGUUGUAAUUAGGGGUAAUAAUGCACCUUCUGCUUUUGUGGUCCGUGUACUGGCUGCAGUAUUAUGCCACUCAUUAAUUGUUUUCUUCCCUAGUGGAGCGGUGGGUGUGAGGGUUAACUGCUUAUAUUUAUUGCCCUGUUAGCUUCGAAUGUUUUUUUUCCCACAUGGCCUUUUUUUUUUUCAUGAUAGCUUUUCGAAAUAGAGCAACUAGUUUUGGUGGAAGGCUAUAUAUGAUUACAACGCCAGGUAAAGCUGUAAAAGACCAUUUCGCUUGGCCUAAUUUAUCAGAUUAGAGCUAUAAUGUAAAUUCUUCGGAAGACUUGUCAGUUGACAUUUCAUGGCAGGCAAAACUUAUAGUACUAGUUAAAUACUUAAUUAGUUCCAUUUGAUGUAGUUAUUAUUGUUAUCAACAUGUAUAAGAAAUUUCUGUGCUUGGUAGGAUCAAGUACUGAAGAGAGGCUUGACUGGCUGGUAAAAACUGAAAAGAAAGAUGAGGUCACCUAAAGGAGGCUCACGAGGCUGCAGAUUGUGCACUCUGAUAUCGGUGUUGGAUGAAUAAAAAGCGUUAUGGCCCAAGGAAUAUGUUCGACAUUCAUUCUGUAUUUGACAGGGGAAUAACAUAACCCAAAAAUUUAUGGGUCUUUAGUCUUUAUUCUUACAGGACGACUGCAUUAAUUAACUCUUCUUGGUCUUGACGGCCACCUUAGGCCUGCAAGUCCACCUAUAUAUAUAUAUUUGAGUAGCUAGAUUAGGAGUUUGGACCCGUAUUCAAUGAAUUUAGGGUUAGCUUUGAAACUUUGAACAAAAAGAAAAUUAGGCAUGAUGAAUUAUAGAUUAGGCUCGACUCCUUUGUGUACUGAUUACAGAAGUAAAGGCCGG
rnacentral:lncRNA from 1 species